rnacentral:tRNA from 1 species
GUUUUAAUAAUUUAAUAAAAAUAUUAGUUUUGUAAACUAAAUUUAGGUACUAAGCCUUUAAAAUA